CUUAAACUCAAACGUUGUUGCACGAUGAAAAAUCAUCGAGCAAAACUAGUUGUUCUCAAUGUUUGAUCAUCUUGACAUCUCCACUUUUGACGAUGUCAAAAAGACCUCUAGUGCAUAAAAUCCUCUAGUUCAUGACAGCUAGAGGUCUGUAUAAGCAAGUAGCUUCAUCCUCAUGGAGGUAUGUGACUAGUAGGUGUUGUACUCUAUUACAUCACUUUGUUGACUAUAGCAUCGAUGUGUGAGCAAACACAACACCACAUCGAUUAAAUUAUUUGUUCAAAUUCAGUCAUUUAUAUACACAAUAACAUAACUUUAGUAAAUAUGAUAGCAAAUAAUUUUAUUUCCCUUAAAAAAAUGUAUUCACUGGUUGAACGUAAUUAAAUGGUAAAAAUGGGGCAUAAUCUCGAUAAAUGGUUUAAAGGUCAUAUCCAUGGUGACCAUUUAUGCCUAGGAAUCAAUAUCCUACAAACUUCUUUUGACAUACAAAUGUUAUAGGUUCAUGUGAGUUAUCUCGUAAGAUUAGUCAAUAUACAUGUAAAGUGCCCAAACACUCAUAGAUAUCCAAAAUUCUACUUCUUUUAGAAGUCACGAGCAUUCUACCAUAACAAUAUAUGGGAGUGUUUGGCACACCAAAUUCAAAAGGCCAGUAUUAAAUAACUCAACUUCACUUCUUUAUCUUAAAAAUAGACUCAACUUUACUAAUUCCAAUAGUAUUAGUAGCAAACUUCAGACAUUUACGGAGGAACUUCAUUUUCUCUUCUUUCUUUCUCUCUCUCUCCUUUUCCCAACUCUCCACAACCAACUCUACACCUCAAACACUUACUUCUUUCAACUCCAAACACUUUAAUUUCAAACUUCAUAAACUCAACUCAAUUUCACAAACAAAAGAUUGGAUUUCAUCCUCUUUUGGUAUUGUUUCUUCCCUUCAAUAUAUUUAGGAGGAGAAUUGACAAGAAAUAACUACAAAUUCUGGCAAAUCAAUGCUCUACUCAGAUCUUUCCCCCAAAUGUAUAAUUUAGAAACAAAAGAUGUAUAAUGCAGUUACCGUUAGUUUCUUUUCCUCUGGUAAUCAUCAAGUACUCGAAAACAUGACCGUCUUCAUAGUACUCAAGAACACCAGUACUCCAUGACGCUAUAUAAAUUGAAUCAAGAAUGUCAUUGUAUCACUGCAUAGCGAUCCAAGCCCUCAACCUUAGGCUACUGGAUGUAGGAACCCGUAUUCUUUAAGAAGUUU
rnacentral:lncRNA from 1 species